CGGCCAUGUCGUGCGUGGCGGCCAUCCCCCGCCUUCCCGAUGGCUACAAGGGCACCCAAGCCCCUCCUCUCUCCCCCGGUUGAACCCUGGCCGCAACUACUUCCCCCUCUCGCGCCGUUGCUCGCUCCCUCGCACACACCCGAAGCUACCGUCGUCGUGCCAUCAUCAUCAUCGCGGCCAUCGUCGUCGCCUUCGCGCGGGAGGACGUCCAAGAGGACCGCGGCCAUCGGCUUCGUCCGUAUCGGGCAUCAUCUCAAGCCGACGUGGCUCGUGCGCUCGCCAUCGCCGUCUUCGUCGUCGUGUACAUCUCCGGCUGCCGACGUUGAUUCCCACCGCUUCGGUCCACCCCCGGCUUCCUCGUCUGCGCACCCGAGCUCGCUGUGAGACCCCGAGACUGAUGCUCCCCCUGUGAUCGACUAAAUCGACGACGACACUUCUUCCUUUUCAGCAGAGCUUCUAGGCAAGCAAACCCCCAUUGAGCAUUCCGAUGGUGGAUCCCAGGAGCCAGAUGCCACCCAGUCGACUACUACUACACCGAGCGUGUCUACUACUACGUGGAGACCGCCGAUGACCAGGAGUAGUUAGGAGGCUCCCAGGCAGGAGGCCUUGCCUUUUCGAUCGAUGUUGCUUUUGUGCUAGUCUUGUUAAGGCAGACUUGUCUAAUCUAUGUCUGUACUCAGAUAUUGAUGCUUCCGCUGACUCUUGUUUAUUCGAGCUGAUGUAUUCGAGUCCUCGAGGCCCAUGGCUUGUAAUAUAAAUCUUGUAUUAUUUU